AACGAACGCUGGCGGCGUGCCUAACACAUGCAAGUCGAACGAGAAUGCAGGCUUCGGUCUGCUAGUAAAGUGGCGCACGGGUGAGUAACACGUGGAUAACGUACAUUGUAGUGGGGGAUAAUUAGGUGAAAGCUUGGCUAAUACCGCAUGAGUCUGUCGGGACGCAGGUUUUGACAGGGAAAGUGAGCAAUCACGCUACGAGAUCGGUCCGCGGCCCAUUAGCUAGUUGGCGGGGUAAUGGCCCACCAAGGCGACGAUGGGUAGCUGGUCUGAGAGGAUGAUCAGCCACACUGGGACUGAGACACGGCCCAGACUCCUACGGGAGGCAGCAGUGGGGAAUGUUGGACAAUGGGCGAAAGCCUGAUCCAGCAAUGCCGCGUGAGUGAUGAAGGCCUUAGGGUUGUAAAGCUCUUUUACCAGGGAUGAUAAUGACAGUACCUGGAGAAUAAGCUCCGGCUAACUCCGUGCCAGCAGCCGCGGUAAU
rnacentral:rRNA from 1 species